CCGUGUGGGACCACUUUGAUGUCAUUUCGGAAAAUAAGAUGACCUUUGGGAACAUUUUGAUCUCGAAGUGGGGAGGCAGACCAAAAGUGCCACAGCUGAUGCCAUCCUUGAGGUGCAGAGAUACAUGGCAGAGGGCAAUAUUGCGAGGUCCCAGGAUCCUCUUGUA